AGAGUUUGAUCAUGGCUCAGGACGAACGCUGGCGGCGUGCUUAACACAUGCAAGUCGAACGGAAAGGCCCCUUCGGGGGUGCUCGAGUGGCGAACGGGUGAGUAACACGUGGGUGAUCUGCCCUGCACUUUGGGAUAAGCCUGGGAAACUGGGUCUAAUACCGGAUAGGACCAUGGCCUGCAUGGGUUGUGGUGGAAAGCUUUUGCGGUGUGGGAUGGGCCCGCGGCCUAUCAGCUUGUUGGUGGGGUGAUGGCCUACCAAGGCGACGACGGGUAGCCGGCCUGAGAGGGUGUCCGGCCACACUGGGACUGAGAUACGGCCCAGACUCCUACGGGAGGCAGCAGUGGGGAAUAUUGCACAAUGGGCGCAAGCCUGAUGCAGCGACGCCGCGUGAGGGAUGACGGCCUUCGGGUUGUAAACCUCUUUCACCAGGGACGAAGCGUAAGUGACGGUACCUGGAGAAGAAGCACCGGCCAACUACGUGCCAGCAGCCGCGGUA
rnacentral:rRNA from 1 species